ACUACCUGAUAAUAUUCCCAUCACUAUUGCUGCCCAUCCUUGCACAAGACCUGCACCAGGAGUAAUACAAACAAGGCCGGUGAUCAUGCCUUGAACAGCGCCGAUUACAGAAGGUUUCUUGAAGAAAAUAACAUCAAGCCAAGUCCAAACCAGAAGGCUUGUAGCUGCGCAGAUGUUAGUGUUAAGGACGGCCAUUGAAGAGUCAAUAUUCGCAGAAUAAGGAUCUCCACCAUUGAAUCCUGCCCAUCCCAUCCACAGUAACCCUGCCCCUGCUAGCAUCAGCAGUACAUUAUUUGGUGGAAAUCUCUCUCUGUCCUUUGUUGAUCUUGGUCCUACCCAAAAAGCAGUAGUCAAUCCAGCAAUUCCAGAAGAAAGAUGAAUAACAUAACCACCAGAAUAGUCGAUAACACCCCAGUGAAACAAGAACCCUCCACCCCACAAGCUAAAAGCCCCCACAGUGUAAGAG
rnacentral:misc_RNA from 1 species